CAGCCGCCGCGGUAAUACAGAGGGUGCGAGCGUUAAUCGGAUUUACUGGGCGUAAAGCGUGCGUAGGCGGCUUCUUAAGUCGGAUGUGAAAUCCCUGAGCUUAACUUAGGAAUUGCAUUCGAUACUGGGAAGCUAGAGUAUGGGAGAGGAUGGUAGAAUUCCAGGUGUAGCGGUGAAAUGCGUAGAGAUCUGGAGGAAUACCGAUGGCGAAGGCAGCCAUCUGGCCUAAUACUGACGCUGAGGUACGAAAGCAUGGGGAGCAAACAGGAUUAGAUACUCGGGUAGUCCCUGUCUCUUAUAC
rnacentral:rRNA from 1 species